AUGUCUUCUGCAGAUAAGGAAAUUCCUGAUCAGGAGAAAGAUUUACCAAAUGGUCAGGAAGAAUGUGAUCCACUUCAGGAUAUGUUUCAUUCUGAACCAGAUCAAGUGAAGAAAAUAAAAGUAAAACAAGGAGAAACUGUCACUCUAAAAAGUGGUGUUACUGACAUUCAGAGAGAUGAUCGGCUACGGUGGAAAUAUGCUGAUUCCAGAGUAUCUGAAUCCACAACCUUAUAUAGUGUCAUCGCUGUAUGCGAUAAAAGGAGCGAUAGGCUCUUAGUAAAGGAAGGUCCUGGAGGGAAAUUCAAAGACAGACUACAGCUGGACCAUCAGACUGGAAAUCUCACGAUCAAGAACAUGAGAGUCAAAGACACUGGGCAAUUUAAGGUUGAGAUCAAGAGCAACACCAAUCCACUUACAAAAACAAUCAAAGUCAAUGUCCGUGCUCCCACAAAAAUGGAAUGGGAUGAUCCAAAUGACAAAAUUUUGUCCUUGAUACCAGAAGAGGACCCCAACAACACUACUACAUAUACUGUGGAGCCGAGGGACACAGAUGAGGAAUUGUCAUAGUCAUAAAUGGUGGGGAACGGAGACACAAGGUCACAUGACAAUGCCAAUAUGGUGGAUGUAGUAAAUAUGGAUUGUAUUCAUGCUAUACACAUGCAUACUCAAAGACCAUACUUUUUAAAUGGUUGAGAAGAUAUUCAUCAAGUGCAGUAUGUAUUCUGACAGUAUGCAAAAACAGGCGCACAUUAUGUGUUAAGGAGCUAAAGGUUUUCUUUGGCAUUACUAGGACAACAUACUUCUUAACUGAAGUAUAUUAUGUAAAAUAAUAUUUUGUAGAUCAC
rnacentral:lncRNA from 1 species